AUGCAGGAGAGCAGCUAGGUUUACUGCAUACCUUUAUCUACGAGGAAAACAGACUGUUGAAGAAGGAUUAAAGAAUCAAGCUAAUCAACAAUCCUUCGGAGUUCAGAA